UUAACUGGAGGAGGGUAAAAACCUCCUCUAAGCCAAGUUAGAAUCCUCCAAGAAAUAGAAUUGCUCUUAGCCCUGAGUGUGAAAUUUUUGCAGAAGUCCCUGAAUUGCAGAUGUUCCCUCCAAGAGGGAAGGAGGGAGAGUGCGCAAUCUCCCUGGUCUGAAGUGAGAACGGCCUAUGCUCUCACUCUUUGUUCCCCUCCCCAGGGAAAUCCAGUUACCCACUGGGAGUGAGCUGCCCCCUAACCCCGCAUGACCCUGUUCCCCGGGAGGGGCAGCCUGGGGAGUGACAGGCAUGACCUCGAUGGUGGGCCAGGGGCCUCCUCAGAGGAGCAAAGAGAAGCUUGGUGGAAGAGAAAGCCGCUAGUAUUCAGCGAGAAGAUCACUCAAAUCCUUCACCAGCAUGCUCAGUGAAGAAUGCAUUAAAAAAAUUAGACUUUUUUUCUUCCUGGCAACAAAAUCUUGCCAAAAUAAGUACCAAAAUAAGUGUUCCAAUGGUUUUAUUUGGGGAAAGCCAACGCUUUCCCCAAAAAGACUUUUUCUUGUUUCUCAUUUGGCUGCUACAAAUAAAGCUGCAAUGAACAUACAUGUACA
rnacentral:lncRNA from 1 species